rnacentral:rRNA from 1 species
UACGGAGGGGGCAAGCGUUAUUCGGAAUUAUUGGGCGUAAAGGGCGCGUAGGCGGCCUGGCAAGUGGAAGGUGAAAUCCCUCGGCUUAACCGAGGAACUGCCCUCCAAACUGCUUGGCUUGAGUCCGGGAGAGGUGAGUGGAAUUCCCAGUGUAGCGGUGAAAUGCGUAGAUAUUGGGAGGAACACCAGUGGCGAAGGCGGCUCACUGGACCGGAACUGACGCUGAGGCGCGAAAGCGUGGGGAGCAAACGGG